rnacentral:rRNA from 1 species
UGGGGAAUUUUGCACAAUGGGGGAAACCCUGAUGCAGCGACGCCGCGUGAUUUAGAAGGCCUUCGGGUUGUAAAAAUCUUUUGUAUGGGAAGAAAACGACAGUACCAUACGAAUAAGGACCGGCUAAUUACGUGCCAGCAGCCGCGGUAAUACGUAAGGUCCGAGCGUUGUCCGGAAUUAUUGGGCGUAAAGCGCGCGCAGGUGGUUUAGAAAGUCUGAUGUGAAAGCCCACGGCUCAACCGUGGAGGGUCAUUGGAAACUAAUAAACUUGAGUGCAGGAGAGAAAAGUGGAAUUCCUAGUGUAGCGGUGAAAUGCGUAGAGAUUAGGAGGAACACCGGUGGCGAAAGCGGCUUUUUGGCCUGCAACUGACACUGAGGCGCGAAAGCGUGGGGAGCAAACAGG